rnacentral:rRNA from 1 species
GAUGAACGCUGGCGGCGUGCCUAAUACAUGCAAGUCGAGCGAAUGGAUUAAGAGCUUGCUCUUAUGAAGUCAGCGGCGGACGGGUGAGUAACACGUGGGUAACCUGCCCAUAAGACUGGGAUAACUCCGGGAAACCGGGGCUAAUACCGGAUAACAUUUUGAACCGCAUGGUUCGAAAUUGAAAGGCGGCUUCGGCUGUCACUUAUGGAUGGACCCGCGUCGCAUUAGCUAGUUGGUGAGGUAACGGCUCACCAAGGCAACGAUGCGUAGCCGCACGGAGCGGGUGAUAGGCAACACGGGGACGAGGAGGCGGCCCAGACUCCUACGGGAGGAAGAAGUAGGGAAUUUUCCGCAAUGGACGAAAGUCUGACGGAGCAACGCCGCGUGAGUGAUGAAGGCUUUCGGGUCGUAAAACUCUGUUGUUAGGGAAGAACAAGUGCUAGUUGAAUAAGCUGGCACCUUGACGGUACCUAACCAGAAAGCCACGGCUAACUACGUGCCAGCCGCCGCCGUAA